ACCCGAAGCUUGCUUUGGGGGAUUAGUGGCGAACGGGUGAGUAACACGUGAGCAACCUGCCCCUCACUCUGGGAUAAGCGCUGGAAACGGCGUCUAAUACUGGAUACGAGUCGCAACCGCAUGGUUAGUGACUGGAAAGAUUUUUUGGUGGGGGAUGGGCUCGCGGCCUAUCAGCUUGUUGGUGAGGUAAUGGCUCACCAAGGCGUCGACGGGUAGCCGGCCUGAGAGGGUGACCGGCCACACUGGGACUGAGACACGGCCCAGACUCCUACGGGAGGCAGCAGUGGGGAAUAUUGCACAAUGGGCGGAAGCCUGAUGCAGCAACGCCGCGUGAGGGAUGACGGCCUUCGGGUUGUAAACCUCUUUUAGCAGGGAAGAAGCGAAAGUGACGGUACCUGCAGAAAAAGCACCGGCUAACUACGUGCCAGCAGCCGCGGUAAUACGUAGGGUGCAAGCGUUAUCCGGAAUUAUUGGGCGUAAAGAGCUCGUAGGCGGUUUGUCGCGUCUGCUGUGAAAUCCCGAGGCUCAACCUCGGGCCUGCAGUGGGUACGGGCAGACUAGAGUGCGGUAGGGGAGAUUGGAAUUCCUGGUGUAGCGGUGGAAUGCGCAGAUAUCAGGAGGAACACCGAUGGCGAAGGCAGAUCUCUGGGCCGUAACUGACGCUGAGGAGCGAAAGGGUGGGGAGCAAACAGGCUUAGAUACCCUGGUAGUCCACCCCGUAAACGUUGGGAACUAGUUGUGGGGUCCUUUCCACGGAUUCCGUGACGCAGCUAACGCAUUAAGUUCCCCGCCUGGGGAGUACGGCCGCAAGGCUAAAACUCAAAGGAAUUGACGGGGACCCGCACAAGCGGCGGAGCAUGCGGAUUAAUUCGAUGCAACGCGAAGAACCUUACCAAGGCUUGAC
rnacentral:rRNA from 1 species